UCUCCGUAGGUGAACCUGCGGAGGGAUCAUUACAGAGUUCAUGCCCUACCGGGUAGAUAUCCCACCCUAUGUUAUUAUUACUUUGUUGCUUUGGCGGGCCGUUAGGCUCCGGCCCGACUACCGGCCCCGGCUGGUAAGCGCCCGCCAGAGGACCCAAAACCCUGAAUAUUAGUGUCGUCUGAGUACUAUAUAAUAGUUAAAACUUUCAACAACGGAUCUCUUGGUUCUG
rnacentral:misc_RNA from 1 species